GACGAACCGUGCGAACGUUAUUCGGAAUCACUGGGCUUAAAGGGCGCGUAGGCGGGUCCGUCAGUCAGGGGUGAAAUCCCACGGCCCAACCGUGGAAGUGCCUCUGAUACUGCGGGCCUCGAGGGGGAUAGGGGCGUGCGGAACUCAGGGUGGAGCGGUGAAAUGCGUAGAUAUCCUGAGGAACACCGGUGGCGAAAGCGGCGCGCUGGAUCCCUUCUGACGCUGAGGCGCGAAAGCCAGGGGAGCAAAGCGGG
rnacentral:rRNA from 1 species